GGGGGGGGGGGGGGGGGGGCGGGGGGCGGGGGGGGGGGAGGGGGGGGCGCGGGGGGGGUGGGGGGCUGGAGGGGCGAACGGGGGGGUAACACGGGGGUAACCUGCCCUGGACUUUGGGAUAACUUCAGGAAACUGGGGCUAAUACCGGAUAGGGGCUCCUGCUGCAUGGUGGGGGUUGGAGAGUUUCGGCGGUUGGGGAUGGACUCGCGGCUUAUCAGCUUGGUGGUGGGGUAGUGGCUUACCAAGGCUUUGACGGGUAGCCGGCCUGAGAGGGUGACCGGCCACAUUGGGACUGAGAUACGGCCCAGACUCCUACGGGAGGCAGCAGUGGGGAAUAUUGCACAAUGGGCGGAAGCCUGAUGCAGCAACGCCGCGUGCGGGAUGACGGCCUUCGGGUUGUAAACCGCUUUCGCCUGUGACGAAGCGUGAGUGACGGUAAUGGGUAAAGAAGCACCGGCUAACUACGUG
rnacentral:rRNA from 1 species